rnacentral:lncRNA from 1 species
UAAAAACUGGUUUUAGGCGCUCUGGUUUUGUUGGUCCUUACCAGAUUAAGAGGUCAGCGGUUCAACUCAGUAAUAUUUAGCAGAUAGAGCUCAUAAAGAACAGAGAAAGUAGAAACACACGUGUGCGUAUACCAAAGAUCGAAACUUACCUCUAUAUUUUGGAUACUUUACUAUAUUGUUCCAUGUCUAUGUUCGCUUCACCAUUAAUAUUAAUUCAAGUCUUUUUUCACUCUUCUAACUCAAAAUCUUUUACUUUUUCUUGGUGCUAGUAAACAUGUUACACAUUGGCAGCAGAAGCAAAACCAUAUCCCUCUCCGAUUACAAAGUCACAAAUGGCAAGUUUUGUACUUCAUAACUCAUUUCGAUGACAAAUUAGAUUAAUUAAUUUGUCCGUCUGUUUUGGUAAUCGAUCAUGCUCUUAAUUUAGUUUUUCUUUUUUCUCCCUUUUAUUCAAAGGAUACGUAUUUCACCACAGGCCGUCCAUAGUAAGAUGCAACUGCAACCAUGCUUCAUCAUCGGUAC